rnacentral:rRNA from 1 species
GACGAACGCUGGCGGCGUGCUUAACACAUGCAAGUCGAACGGAAAGGCCCUGCUUGCAGGGUGCUCGAGUGGCGAACGGGUGAGUAACACGUGGGUGAUCUGCCCCUUACUUUGGGAUAAGCCUGGGAAACUGGGUCUAAUACUGGAUAGGACCAUGCUGUAUGUGGUGUGGUGUAUAGAUUAGUUUCGGUUAGGGAUGAGCUCGCGGCCUAUCAGCUUGUUGGUGGGGUAAUGGCCUACCAAGGCGUCGACGGGUAGCCGGCCUGAGAGGGUGGACGGCCACAUUGGGACUGAGAUACGGCCCAGACUCCUACGGGAGGCAGCAGUGGGGAAUAUUGCACAAUGGGCGCAAGCCUGAUGAAGCGACGCAGCGUGGGGGAUGACGGCCUUCGGGUUGUAAACUCCUUUCAGCCAUGACGAAGCCCUUGUGGUGACGGUAGUGGUAGAAGAAGCACCGGCUAACUACGUG